ensembl:lncRNA
UAAAAUAAGAACGUAUCGACAAUUGUACGUUUACGUUUUAAAUAAUCUUUAAAACUCUUUGAUUUCGUGAGUGUCGUAGUGUUUCAGUCGCUGUGCAACAACGCAGGAAGUAAAAGAAGUUCUGUAGUCGCUCAGCUCACGUACUCGACUUUCUUUUUUUUUUUCUUUUUUUUUUGAGACGCAAUAACACGUUUGAUUUAGCACGUACAAAUGAUUUUCCACAACGUUACGUUAGCAUUCGACGUAUUAGCUCAUGUAGCUCAUGUCUGAAGUUCUGGUCUUUCGGUCAGUAGCUAUUUUGGUCACAUGACCGUCAAGUUGUCUACAUUUUCGGUGGAUCCCAAAUCACAAAUCUACUGGUCAUAGACGCAAAUUCCCCACUCGACACUUGAUUGAUUUUGUUUCCGUGGCGUAUUUUACAGACCAAUAGCAUUUACUGUAGCAGGAAUUUACAGCAAGUAUUAAUCUUGUUGUUUGUUAUCUGCAUCACACCGAGUCAACGAUAUCGAUGUACCGUAACAGACCGGUACUGUGUAACUGAUUCAGCUCAGCGCUACACAUUAACGUGGCGCGUGCGCGUUAUUAGCCUGAAUUUGAGUGAAGCGUUUUCCGUUUUUCUCUUCCGCUCUCGUGUAACGGCGAGGACGAGCCGGCGUCACAUCACGUGGUCAGGAGCGUGCGUAUCGGCGCAGCGGCGAUCUGUCCGUGUCUGUCCGUAGUGCAGGUGUGAGACGCGCCGCCUGCUCCGUUUUCCGUCUCCCACAAGAUGUCUCUAUCGCUCUUCACAGAAGAAUAAAUAAGCACGACAGGAACACACACUCCUCCGAUAGUAACAAAGAAAAAAAAACCCCUUGCCACGCGACACAACGAGCUCAUAAACGAUCGGCGCUCGGUGUGUGUGUGCGUAGGUGAGUGUGUGUGUGAGCUAACGCUACACUUCACUUCACUUCACAUCACAUCACAGCAGUCACCGUGACAACCAUCAGCCACCUCGGGUUACAAAAGAGAAAUAAAUUAAUAAAUAAAAAGAAAGAAGAAUUAAGAGAACGGAGCAUGACGUACGUCUAAAAUAAUCCCGAAUUCAGGUAAUAAAAACAGAUUAAUGCUACAAUCAAUCCCUAAAUAAUGUUAGAAAUCACAACACAAGCACAAAACCAGGUCUAAUAUAAUAUAAUGUAAUAUAAUAUAAUAUAAUCCAAAUUAUGCAAGAUAUUCAAUUGAACUAACACAGCCUAAAUUCUAGAAACAUUUCAUCUGAAUGAUGUUUAUAUAGGUCCAAUUCUCAUGAAAUAAAUCCUGAAUGAUUGUAAUAUAGCCCGACUAAUGCGGAAAUUAAACCUGAGAUCAUCUUAUACAUCCCGAAAUAAACCUGAACGCCAGGUUCAGGAUCAUUUAAACUAACUUAUACCCAAAUAAUUCCUGAUUUAAACUCCCAAAAUUCCGUCGGAAUGAAUCCUAAACUGUGUGCAGUACAUCCCGGAUGAUGGUCAGAUGGAUCCCGGUUUCAGAGCGUACGGGGAAAGAACAGCUGAGUUCAUCAUAAUAUACAGCUCACAGAUGGACGAAAUGACUUCUGAGUUAACGCAAAACAAACGAAUCCUUCAUUAAGAUGAUCAGGGUCGGAUGUCUCAAGCCUAAAUUAUGCGAGAUCUUAACUUUUCGUGGAAAAAAAAAAAGGAUCUUAAAUUUAAAACGUCGCGAAAUAAGACCGAAAGCUUAAGUUCAAGAUAAUCAGGAUUGAUAAAACUUACUCGAAUAAUCCCGAAUUAAGGUAAAACAGCCCGACUGAUGCUGAAAAUAAUCCCGAAUGAAACUAAUGACGCUUCAGAUUACUUUCUAAAUUCAACCCAUCAAACCUGAAGAGCACAGAUGUGUACUAUCUUAUUACUGUUAGUGUUUAAAAAAAACAACAAUAAUGAAAUAAAUUAAUACGAUUAAAGGAAGAAAAAAAAACAACAACAACCCUAAACUGAAAUAAUAAAAAGGCAACUAACAGAUGGUUUGGAGUUACAUUAUAUUACUGUGCAUUUUACAGCAAAAAUAUUCAUUAAUAAUGCAAGGAAAAAACAAAACUGGCUAAAUAAAUAAAUAAAUAAAUAAAUAAAUAAAUCAAGCUAAAUUAAGGUAAUAUAGCGCUAUAAUAAACCCAAAUAAUUAUUCAUAUAUCAUUAUUCCACUAUUACAGAGCAAAAAGGUCAAUAUAGUUAUUAAUAGGAUACAUUACAGCACUGUAUAUAUAAUAAUAUAUACAACAAUAACUAUAUAUAAUAUGAAAUCUAUAACGUGAGGUGAACCCUUUUAACCCUCAAGUGUGUGCCAACUGACUGUCGCGAAAAAAGCUUUUUCAAAGGGAAAAAAGUGACGUACAAUUUCAAUCAUUAAGACCGCGAAGCGAAUCAAAUCCGGCGGAUUUACAGACGCCGCGGUCGGCGCGGUGUCUGUCGUACGCUUGUAUUUAAGAUCAUAAAUAGACGGACAGAACGCCAGGCCACGUUCUCCGAGCUUCUCCGAGCGAGAACGUGGAUUAAGCGGGUCAAGAGUUCAGCGUCGGGGUUCGGAUUUCUCCAGAGAGCCGACGUCCUGCUUCAUCGGUUACUCUUAAUUCCUUUUCAUUUGGUUUAUGUAAAUCUCGGGGAAACGCAUUACGUCUCGCAGCCUCGUUUAUUAAACCACAAAAGACACGAAGUUGUUCAUCAGAGUUUGUCGCAAACCUGUUCUCAUUUAGACUGAGCGAUGUGUGUGUGUGUGUGUGUGUGUGUGUGUGUGUGUGGUUUCUUCUGCCCGAACAUCCAGCAGGGAUAUGCUCAUCUGGAGACGAACUCUAAUGAGGCAAAUAAUGAUUUGUGUCUUCCAACGAGAUCCUCCAGUGAAGGAGUAAACGGAUUACGUAAAUACAAUAAAUACAGAUAAUCGUACAAUUCCCUUCGCCGUGGCUUAAUUACCCCAAACCGACGCCAUGCACUUUAUUUAUUUUGAUUCAGUAAUGGCAUUGCAAUCAAUUAGGCCGUAAUGCUGCCAGCUGCUUUCUGCGUGUGUGUGUGUGUGUGUGUGUGUGUGUGUGCAGCUGUUUAGCUGAACUGAACCACAUUAACCGUUAUUAAUGGAUAAAUGAUUUCCCCUCUCUCUGAACGCAUACGUGAGUAAGUGUGUGUGUGUAGACGUGUGUGUGUUGUGUUCUGAUUUGGAUCAGAUACGAAGGCGCAGGAGAUGCGGUCGUGGUACGGGUUAAAGGGAGUGAUGGGGAUUUUAAAGAAAAGCUGAAUUUCAGCCGGUGAUGUUUCUCAUUCUGUAAAAACUUUAUUGACUCGUGUCUGUUUCCCGAAGAGAGAGUCGGCACCGUCGAACACCGCGUUUAGACUUUUUCACGCUCGGUUGAAGUUAUAAAGAACGAAAGGCCCAGAUCCGGCCCAGAUCCGGCCCACGCCUGACACGUUCAUCCGGCCCACAUACCGCGUGGAAUGAUGACACUUGGGCGGUCCGCUCCGGGUUGCCAGAUUUGGGCCAGAAGCAAGCCGUAGCAAUGCCGCAUGCGCAACACUUUUUGCAAAGGUGGCCCACAUUUGUUUUGUGAUAUUUGGGCCAUAUUCACUAUUCCCCACACGGGCCGCUUUAGGGUCACGUCCAGAUCACACACUGCCGUGAGCGCCGCAUCGCUGCCUAAAAAGAGAAACGCUUGUGAUUCAGGAUAUUUGGGCCAUAUUUGCUUAUUUUUGUCCGAGCCAAAAGAAGGCCAGCAGCACUGCCUGAAGUGGCCCACAUCCGCAUGCCAUCUGGGCGUGGCCAAGCUAAUCUAACACAUGAUUGGGUGGUAGUUACACCCAUCGACUCGGACACACAAGUAACAAACAAGCCAUCAAUUUGCUAGUGAGUAAUUCUUGUAGACGUUAUAAAGUCCGUACGGGAUUUCACCAAGUUUAUUUUGUGAUCGGCCGACCGAAGACGCUCGCUUCUGCAAAGACUUUUUCGCAGCGAUGUUAGUUGGUAAACGAGACCUUUUAGCCGUACUCGUGUAGGACGCACGUGAAUCGAAGACGGCUUCGACCGAACACGUGUCGCGGCGACGUCACGUGACGCAUGACUUGACAACGGAAAUAGUUAGUUGUUGCGUAACGUGACUCGCAGCUCAGGUUCUGUCUUUGUUGCUGGUGUUUAUGCAAAAAUCCCUUAAAAACCCCAACGAGUGUCAUGUUCACGUUCUCCAUCACGGUAAAUACCUCAUGCAUUUUCAGGCAGUCUAACCACACACACACACACACACACACACACACACACACAGGCUCCCUGCGAGCGCCUUUAAAUGAAAGCAUGUUUAAUUAAUGAUGCUGAAGUUCUCCGUCACAAUUAAGAAGAUGAACGGUCAAACAAGGCACCGGAGAAAAGCCCUGACGAUGAAAAGUUUGUCUUCCUAAAGUGCUGCUGAGGAUACAGUAACCUGACACACACACAAACACACACACUUUUACUGCACUUGACACUGACAGAUAUGACAGGAGGAUUUAUAGCGGAGCUGAAACACCUCGCGUUCAGCGUGAUGUAUGUGACUAUAAAAAAUACGAAUAAAUUAAAAAUGAAAAAAAAAAAAUGCUGUCCAUCAUUUAAUAGCUUCGAGGAGAAAAUACGACUCGAGGCUUCGUCUCCAACACGCAGCUCCAUGCCGACUCUAAACAUAUAAACAAGCUUUCGUGCUUGUUCUGUGCAUGCUGUGAUCUCAUGUGUUACCCAUAAUGCACUGCGAGCAGAUCGUCGUAAUAUAGGCAGACAGCGGCGGACGUGCGUAAGACGUGAACUCACGACGUUCUGACAGGAGUGUGUAACAGCUAGUGAUUGUGAUUUAGGUUUUGGUGAACAAACCCGAGUCAGUAAUUCUUAAUAACAAAAAUACCGAUCAGUCUGGGUUAGGGUUAGCCUCGGGUUAGGAGUAGACUAGGAUUAGGAUUAGCCUAGGGUUAGGGUUAGCCUAGGGUUAGGGAUUAAAGUUAGCCUAGGGUUAGGGUUAGCCUAGCGUUAGGGAUUAGGGUUAGGGUUAGCCUAGGGUUAGGGUUAGCCUAGUGUUAGGGAUUAGGGUUAGGGUUAGCCUAGGGUUAGGCGGUUAGGUUAGGGUUAGCCUAGGGUUAGCCCAGGGUUAAGGUUAGGGUUGGCCUAGGGUUAGGGUUACCGUAGGGUUAGGGAUUAGAGUUAACCUAGGGUUAGGGUUAGGGUUAGGGUUAAGGAUUAGGGUUAGCCUAGGGUUAGGGUUAGCCUAGGGUUAGUGAUUAGGGUUAGGGGUUAGGGUUAGCCUAAUCCAAACCCAGUCUCAUGACGUUAUUAUUAUCAUAUCGAUGCGAUGUUGUAUACGGCGCUAUCGUGUGCUAGUUAGCCUUUUAGCAAGUAAGCAGACAAUUAGCCAGCUGUGAUACGAUAGAAUAAAACGAUGAUUUAUUUUUAGCGUCAGGGUUCUGGGAGGUAAUUAAUCUGAUGACGGUUCAGGAAAAAGCUUCCUCGGUUCUCUAAACAGAGAGGAGAAGGCGAGUAAAAAUGGAGCGAGAGAGAGAGAAAGAGAUGAGAGAGACGCAAAAGGCACAGAGACAGAAAAGAAAGACAAAGAGAGAGAUAAUAAUAAUAAGAAGAAGAAGAGGCAGAUAGAGACCCAGAAGAGAAACUGAAGAGAUCGAGACAGAGAAGGAAGGAAAAGAAGAGACAGACCGAGAGUGAGACAGUCCGAAGGAGAGAGAGAGAGACAGAAACAGAAAAGUAGAGUGAGACAGAGAGAGUGAGACAGACAAGGGAAGGUGUCAAUUAAAGGAAUGAAGGCUGGUGUGUGUGUGUGUGUGUGGUGUUGACAGCUGGCUGGAGUCGAGCUGACAGCCGUCACAUUAAGCAGCUUUGGUGGCCUGCACACACGCGCACACACACACACACACACACACACACACACACACACACACACGUCUGAAAGUGGAGGCUCUGGUGCUGCAGUGAUUAGCGUUGAACCCCUGCAGCUAUCGCUAAUAACAGUUAUUAGCAUCUGUAGAGUUCUGGGAGAGUUUUUACACUCUGAUCAGGUUUAGAGUUUCAACAACCACCGAACAACCCCUGAACAUCCACUGUAUGACCACAGAAAACCCCUGUAUAACCACUGAACCAGCACACAACCACUGAACCGGCAUGGAACAUUCACAGUACAACCACAAAAAAUACUGUACAAGCACAGAAGCACCACUGAACAACCAGCGUACAGCUACAGUACAACCCCUGAACAUUCACUGUACAAACACUGAACAACCAACAUACAACUAGAGUACAACAACCGAAUAACCCCUGAACAACCCCUUAACAUUCACUGUACAACCAGCAUACAACAACACAACCACAAACUAAACAACCACAAAAAACACUGUACAACCGCUAAACAGCCGCUGAGUACUGACAGUACAGCCGCACUCUUUCUGAGACAGCGCUGUUUAAAAUAAUCUCUUUACCACAAACAGACAGGAAGUAGCUGAUGUGGUUCACUGUAAUGAUUUCUUCAGUGUUAAUUCUUUAUUGAUUGAUUUUUUUUUCCCCAUUAAUAAAUAAAUGUUUUUUCUUUGUUUUUUUUACAACAUAAAAUAACGUUCUUCAGAUAUGAAAUAAAGUAUGAUCAAACAGGUUUUUUUAGAAUGCUACACCAGCGUGUCGCUGUCGUGUUCGUACACACAGCGUAUCAGGAUGCACGCCGCGUCUCGCACAGACCCGCGUGACGAUCCGGAUCUGAUCUCAUGGUAUCUCCAGAUCGUACUGGACCUGGAGCUUUCGCUCCACAUUAUUAUUUUAAUCCCUCAUUUCAAAAAGAAAAAGACGGAGAAAGAACAAAGUCCUUUUCUGAACUUGUGGAAAAAUGUUUCAAUGUAGAGAGCCACAGAGUAUACAGUACAGAACUAUACAUAUAUAC